rnacentral:rRNA from 1 species
UACAGAGGGUGCGAGCGUUGUCCGGAAUUACUGGGCGUAAAGGGCGCGUAGGCGGCCUGAUAAGUAGGGGGUGAAAUUCCGUGGCUCAACCACGGAACUGCCUUCUAGACUGCCAGGCUUGAGCACGGUAGAGGCAGAUGGAAUUCCCGGUGUAGCGGUGGAAUGCGUAGAGAUCGGGAAGAACACCAGUGGCGAAGGCGGUCUGCUGGGCCGUUGCUGACGCUGAGGCGCGACAGCGUGGGGAGCAAACAGG